GGGUAAUCUUCCGCAAUGGGCGAAAGCCUGACGGAGCAAUACCGCGUGAGGGAAGAAGGCUCUUGGGUUGUAAACCUCUUUUCUUAGGGAAGAAAAAAAUGACGGUACCUAAGGAAUAAGCAUCGGCUAACUCCGUGCCAGCAGCCGCGGUAAUACGGAGGAUGCAAGCGUUAUCCGGAAUGAUUGGGCGUAAAGCGUCCGCAGGUGGCAAGUCAAGUUUGCGGUUAAAGGUUCUGGCUCAACCAGGGACAGGCCGUGAAAACUGACUAGCUAGAGUAUAGUAGGGGCAGAGGGAAUUCCCAGUGUAGCGGUGAAAUGCGUAGAGAUUGGGAAGAACACCGGUGGCGAAAGCGCUCUGCUAGGCCAAAACUGACACUGAGGGACGAAAGCUAGGGGAGCGAAUGGGAUUAGAUACCCCAGUAGUCCUAGCCGUAAACGAUGGAUACUAGGUGUAGCUUGUAUCGACCCAAGCUGUGCCGUAGCUAACGCGUUAAGUAUCC
rnacentral:rRNA from 1 species